GACGAACGCUGGCGGCGUGCCUAAUACAUGCAAGUUGAGCGCUGAAGGUUGGUACUUGUACCGACUGGAUGAGCAGCGAACGGGUGAGUAACGCGUGGGGAAUCUGCCUUUGAGCGGGGGACAACAUUUGGAAACGAAUGCUAAUACCGCAUAAAAACUUUAAAAACAAGUUUUAAGUUUGAAAGAUGCAAUUGCAUCACUCAAAGAUGAUCCCGCGUUGUAUUAGCUAGUUGGUGAGGUAAAGGCUCACCAAGGCGAUGAUACAUAGCCGACCUGAGAGGGGGAUCGGCCACAUUGGGACUGAGACACGGCCCAAACUCCUACGGGAGGCAGCAGUAGGGAAUCUUCGGCAAUGGACGAAAGUCUGACCGAGCAACGCCGCGUGAGUGAAGAAGGUUUUCGGAUCGUAAAACUCUGUUGGUAGAGAAGAACGUUGGUGAGAGUGGAAAGCUCAUCAAGUGACGGUAACUACCCAGAAAGGGACGGCUAACUACGUG
rnacentral:rRNA from 1 species